rnacentral:tRNA from 1 species
CCCCCACAUGGCUGGGGCGGAUCGGGGGCGCACGGCCUGAAAGGCCGUCCCGCAAGGGGUGCUGGCCGCAGGUUGCAAACCCGCGCAGGCGA